rnacentral:rRNA from 1 species
CGGUAAUACGUAGGGUGCGAGCGUUAAUCGGAAUUACUGGGCGUAAAGCGUGCGCAGGCGGAUUGUUAAGCAAGAUGUGAAACUUUUGGGCUUAACCUGGGAAUGGCAUUUUGAACUGGCAGUCUAGAGUGUGUCAGAGGGGGGUGGAAUUCCACGUGUAGCAGUGAAAUGCGUAGAGAUGUGGAGGAACACCGAUGGCGAAGGCAGCCCCCUGGGAUAACACUGACGCUCAUGUACGGCGAAGUGGGUAGCAAACAGGACCGAGCGCCCUGGUAGUCCACGCCCUAAACGAUGUCAACUGGUUGUUGGGGGAGUGAAAUCCCUUAGUAACGAAGCUAACGCGUGAAGUUGACCGUUGAGGGAGUACGGUCGCAAGAUUAAA